rnacentral:sRNA from 1 species
GGUUGAAUUGCCUAAGUUUGAGGUAAUUGAAUGUUUUGGCCCAGGGUUUAGGCUACUGUGGCUCGAAGUAAAAUUUUGGAAAGUCCUGCAUAUUUGUGUGACAAG